rnacentral:lncRNA from 1 species
CUUGAGACUCCUUCCAGACUUGGGUCAUCUGUCUUCUGAACCAUCUUCUUUCUUCAGACACUGCUGUCUCUUUGGAGAUACAACAAGGGCUGUGUGGCCAAGAGUCUCGUUGUUGCCCACGCUGGACAUGAUCUCGGCUCACUGCAACCUCUGCCUCCCAGGUUCAAGCAAUUCUCCUGUCUCAGCCUCCCCAGUAUCUGGGACUACAGGCGCAUGCCACCAUGCCUGGGUAAUGUUUUUGUAUCUUUAGUAGAGAUGGGGUUUCACCAUAUUGGUCAGGCUGGUCUCGAACUACUAACCUCAGAUGAUCCGCCCGCCUCGGCCUCUCAAACUGCUAGGAUUACAGGCAUGAGCCACUGAGCCCAGCCCAGAGGGUUUUAAAGAUUGUCUUAACCUAGAAGAGUAACGGAACAAAACUGAAGGUUUAAGCAAAGUGAAAAGGGCUUGAAAAGUGUUGAUCUUGUAAAAAUUCUGUGGGUGUAAACAAGUUGGCUAAGAUUUAAAAUAAACUGUUUAGCUUUUUUCCGUAGGUUAAAACAUUAAAAUCAUACUGAUGUGGGGCCAGAAUCGGACCCAUUUGUCAGAAUAACAGGGUUUUCUUAGAAAAUUGAUCUGCUGUUUGAUGGAAAGUUGUAAAGGGUUCUAAAAAGUUGAGGAAAAUCUUACCUUAUGGUCAAACUAAUUAAAACUGGAUAGAGAUAUAAGAUGUUAUUUUAAAAACUAACUUUAACAUUAAAGAUGCACUAAUGCAAACAUGAAAUUUGGUUUUCUCUUUUGAAGAUGAUUUUUAUGUAAUGUUAAAAGAUAAUGAAAGGGUUUUGUUUUCUCCUUUGGGUUAACAGCAGGGGACAAAAAAGAGGAGAGAGAGAAGAGAAGAUUCAGUUGGCCUCCUGCUAUCUUCAUUGGGUCUUGUUGGAAAGCUAAGUCUCCUCUAUCAGAGUAAAGGUUUUUCUUUUUUUUUUUCCUUUGAGACGGAGUCUCGCUCUGUCGCCCAGGCUGGAGUGCAGUGGCGGGAUCUCGGCUCACUGCAAGCUCCGCCUCCCUGGUUCACGCCAUUCUCCUGCCUCAGCCUCCCGAGUAGCUGGGACUACAGGCGCCCGCCACCUCGCCCGGCUAAUUUUUUAUAUUUUUAGUACAGACGGGGUUUCACCAUGUUAGCCAGGAUGGUCUCAAUCUCCUGACCUCGUGAUCCGCCCACCUUGGCCUCCCAAAGUGCUGGGAUUACAGGCUGAGCCACUGUGCCCGGCCAAGGUUUUUCUUUUUAAAAAAUUUUAUUGGAAUUAUCAUUUGGCCAAAUGAAUGACUUUAUGGUGACCUGUGAUUCUAUUUUAAAACACUAUCUGGUGUUUUAAACCUUUGAUAUUUGACAAACUUUCCAAAAUCAGAUCAUAAAUUACAUCUCUUUCUAACCUAAUAUUUUAGAUAUUAAGUCCUCUAAAGUCCAGAAUUGACAUUUGGCUUAUUUGCUACAAAAAUCAUACAGGAAGCAUUGUCCAAUAUGAAAUGGUGUUUGGCUUUCUUUGGUCUAUAUUUGUGUUAAUGUGUUAUUGAUAUGUGUUCUGAAAUUAUGUAAAAUUCCUGUAAUUCUAAUAUGACUUAGUAUAUGUUAUCAGUAAUAAUUAUAAUUAUUAUGUUAACAGGCUGUAUGCCACAGAGGUAACACAUUUCCUUGUCAAUCAUGUCUUUAACUGUUGCUGCCCUAAAAUGUUUUUGUCAUUCACAGACAAUUGUUGUCUUGUUUUGGUCUUCUUUAAAAGAUGGUUUUAUAAUCAGCUAUAAAAUUUAACAGGUGCUCUUAAAUUCAGGAUUCUGAUUAAUAACUCUGGAGAUUGUGACAUUAGAAUAGAGGAAAAACUUUCAAAUAGAAGAGUGAAUGGUCUUUGGUUCACUUUGGACUGCAUUUGUAUAAAUAUGUUAUUAGUAUGUAUUCCAAAAUUAUGGGAAACUUCUAUAAUGUUGAUAUAAUUUAGUGCACAUUAUUAAUAAUUAUAAUUAUUAUGUAAAAUCGUAUGCCACAAGUGGCCAGGCACAGUGGCUCGUGCUUGUAAUCCCAGCACUUUGUGAGGCUGAGGUGGGUGGAUCACUUGAGGUUGGGAGUUUGAGACCAGCCUGACCAACAUGGAGAAACCCUGUCUCUACUAACAAUACAAAAUUAGACGGGCAUGGUGGCAUGUGCCUGUAAUCCCAACUACUUGGGAGGCUGAGGGAGAAGAAUCACUUGAACCCAGGAGGUGGAGGUUGCGGUGAGCCGGGAUCGCACCAUUGCACUCCAGCCUGGGCAACAAGAGCGAGACUUCGUCUCAAAAAAAAAGAAAAAAUAAAUGUAUGCCAUAAUCAAAAUUCUUAGUCAAUUGUAGCUUUAAUGGUGGCUAUAGACUUUUGUCAUCCACAGAUAUUUUGUCUUGCUUUGGUCCUUUUCAAAAGGAAGUUUAUAAUCAAAUAUAGGACUCUUAAGUGCAGGUCUCAGAUAAAUUUGAUGACUUUAAAAAUUGUGCUAUUGGAAUAGAGGAAAAAACCAAACUUCCAGGACUCUCAUGGAGAGCUAAAGUGUUAAACAUUGCUAAACUUUUUGUUUUCAGAGUCAAGAGAACUUAUUUCUUUAGAGCUAUUUGCAACUUUUAACAAGUGAGUAAAAUGUACUCCUGUGAACAAAAUUUGGAGCGUAUUUGCUCUUCUCUACCUAAUUUCUCCAGAAUUUGGUAACUAUUUGUGAACAUUCUCAAUUUAUGGCAGUAUGGUUAAUUGCAUAAGUGCAAAAAGAAUCUGUUUUCUUUUGUAACAGGACACAAUUGGAGAAAUUGGUUAUUUUACCAAGGCUUUGACCGGAAUGGCAUGCUUCCUUUAAAGAAUCAAAGUUGACUUAUAGAGCCAAUUAAAGCCUGUUGGGGCCUCUGGUCUCAUACCUUGUCCACACAGAGUCCCUGUACAAAAUUCCUGACCUGUGUUAAGUAAAGAAUGUCACUUUCUAACAGGCCCAGGAACCGCAAGUUAUCUUGGGACCUCAAGAGGAGAGGAAUUUGCCCACCACAUAGGUAUCUGAGGGUACAAACCCAUGGCUGGGCUCGGCUUCUAAAAAGUCUUAUCUGAGAGUCUACAUGGAACAGAGUUC